CAAUAGCGUAUAUUAAAGUUGUUGCGGUAAAAAAGCUCGUAGUUGGAUUUCUACCGAAGAUAGCCGGUCGGGUCUUCGACCUUGUAUCUGGUUUUGUCUUUGGUAUCCUCAUAGGGAACGUUUCUGCGCUUUAUUGCGUGGUGCGGUAUCUAUGACUUUUACUUUGAGGAAAUUAGAGUGUUCACGGCAGGCAAACGCCUUGAAUAUAUUAGCAUGGAAUAAUAACAUAGGAUCUUCGUCCUAUUUUGUUGGUUUCUAGGGCUAAGAUAGUGAUUAAUAGGGAUAAUUGGGGGCAUCUGUAUCAACGCGUCAGAGGUGGAAUUCUUGGAUUGCGUUGCGACAAACUACUGCGAAAGCAUUUACCAAGGAUGUUUUCAUUGA
rnacentral:rRNA from 1 species